GACGAGCCACACGAACGUUAUUCGGAAUUACUGGGCUUAAAGGGUGCGUAGGCGGUGCGGAAAGUUGGGUGUGAAAUCCCUCGGCUCAACCGAGGAACUGCGCCCAAAACUACCGUACUUGAGGAAGAUAGAGGUGAGCGGAACUCACGGUGGAGCGGUGAAAUGCGUUGAUAUCGUGAGGAACACCCGUGGCGAAAGCGGCUCACUGGGUCUUUUCUGACGCUGAUGCACGAAAGCCAGGGGAGCAAACGGG
rnacentral:rRNA from 1 species